CGAUGGAUUAGGCAUGCAAGUCGAACGGUGCAGCAAUGCAUAGUGGCGCAAGGGUGAGGAACGCGUGAGUAACCUGCCCUCAAGUUGGGAACAGCUUCUGGAAACGGAAAUUAAUACCGAAUGUGACCAUAGGAAGGCAUCUUCUGUUGGUUAAAGGCCGCAAGGUCGCUUGAGGAGGGGCUCGCGUCCCAUUAUGCUAGUUGGUGAGGUAACGGCCCACCAAGGCGAAGAUGGGUAGCUGGUCUGAGAGGACGAUCAGCCACACUGGGACUGAGAACUGCCCAGACUCCUACGGGAGGCUGCAGUCGAGAAUUUUUGGGCAAUGGACGAAAGUCUGAACCCCCAGCAAUGCCGCGUGCGGGAUGAAGGUCCUCGGAUUGUAAACCGCUGUCAAGUGGGACGAAACAAAUGACGGUACCGCUGAAGGAAGUCACGGCUAACUACGUGCCAGCCGCCGC
rnacentral:rRNA from 1 species